UGCGCAUGCGUGAGCUCCAGCUGAGCGAGGCCGGGGCUCCACGACCCCUGGCGCAAGUGCUGGUGCUUGGGGUCUGGGGAGGGCCGUCGCCAUGGCAGCGCCGGCCACGCGGUGAGGGGGCCGUCCUCCCGGCUGGUAGCUCCCGCAGCCUCGCUGCCUGCUGGUGGGAACCGUGCGAUUCCGCCCCCGACUGGGCGCCUGCCGAGUGCCUCACCAGCCAGACGAGCACCCCGUAAAGACUGCCAGGCAAUAAUGAAGGUUCUUUUACUGAAAGACCCUAAGGAGGACGACUGUGGCCAGGAUCCCUACAUCAGGGAAUUAGGAUUAUAUGGACUCGAAGCCACUUUGAUCCCUGUUUUAUCAUUUGAGUUUUGGUCUCUUCCCAGUUUUUUGGAGAAGCUGUCUCACCCUGAAGGUUACGGGGGCCUCAUUUUUACCAGCCCCAGAGCAGUGGAAGCAGUGGAGCUGUGUUUGGAGAAAGACAAUAAAACCGAAGUCUGGAGAAAGUCUCUGCAAGAAAAAUGGAAUGCUAAGUCAGUGUAUGUGGUGGGAAAUGCUACUGCUUCUCUAGUGAAUAAAAUUGGCCUGCAUACAGAAGGAGAAAACUGUGGAAAUGCAGAAAAGCUUGCAGAGUACAUUUGUUCUAGGGAGUCGUCAGCACUGCCUCUUCUGUUUCCCUGUGGAACCCUCAAAAGAGAAAUCCUGCCGAAAAUGCUCAAGGACAAAGGGAUUCCCGUGGAGAGCUUAACCGUCUACCAGACGAUCCCACACCCAGGGAUCCAGGGGAACCUCAACAGCUACUAUUCCCAGCAGGGCAUUCCCGCCAGCAUCACGUUUUUCAGUCCCUCUGGCCUGACACACAGUCUCAAGCAUAUUCAAGAGUUAUCUGGUGACAACAUUGACCAGAUUAAGUUCGUGGCCAUUGGGCCCACCACAGCCCACGCCCUGGCCGCGCAGGGCCUGCCCGUGAGCUGCACCGCAGAGAGCCCCACGCCGCAAGCCCUGGCCGCGGGCAUCAGGACGGCGCUCCAGUCCCAUGGAUGCUGAGUCAGAGGCCCCGGCGCCCUCCCUGGGCGGAGCUGCCCCUGUGGGCCCAGGGCCAGGUGCUACCACGUCCCGGUGGAGCCGGGCAUCGGGCAGGGGCUCCUGGGAAACCGCCCCCUCACACUUCUGCCUCGCGCCCGGGGGAGCCCCCGCCAACACCGAGGCUGGGCCGGGACCCGGGGCCGCGUCAGGCCCACGUGCGCCUGACGUCCCUUCGUGGAGUCCAGCUCGGACCCCCGCCCGGCGCACGCGGCUCCUGUGGCAGCAGAAGGAAAUCAAAUAAAGUGCACUGGCCACGCCUGCUGACUGUGCCUUGUUACUUGCUGUCUGUGGUUUCAGUGCAAAGCUGUGUUUGGCGCCCACGUUCUGAGAACUGACAAACCUGGAUUGAAGCCAGUGCCGUGGCCUCAGAACCCUUCUGAGACCAGAGGUGUGGCUGGCGCAGGAAGCAGAGGGAAUCUGUUCUGACCUGGGGCGGAGCCACGUGCGUGCCUCACCGUAUCACUGAAUAUGUGCAGGACCGAGGGCCGGGAGGGGGAGGCUCAUCUUCUCCAGUGGAAAACAAAGGUAGAAUUGGACAAAAUGGUUACAAACAACCAUUUCAGGGCUCUGGAAUUUGACCUGAGUCAGACGACAAAUCGAGAAGCGUUUAUUCUUGAAAACCCGCCCUUUGGGCCAGACCAGCGGGAGUGGCCUCGUGGCCUAGAGAUGCCCCUCAUCCCUGUGCACCCACUGCUGGGACCCUAGAUUCGGGCAGGAGGAGAAAACCAGGGUUUUUUCAGUGCAAGGUGGUGAACCCUGUAGGAAGGGAAUAGGAAAACCUGCAGCGUUGCUAGUCUGAGCUUGUGGUCCCAGUUGGGAUGAGCCACAGACCAAUCAGAAAUGGAACGGGGACCUCGUGGGGAUGAGAGCUCCACAGAAGGACUGACUGGGUUAGCCGACUGGGAGGAGUGCUUGUGUGCAGUGCAGUGCCGGCCCGACACAGACCAGGGGGAUGCAGGGUGCGGGCCAGAGGGAACUUGUGGGGCCACGGGUGUGUCCUAUAACCGAUCGUGGCGUUGGUCGCACAGGGAGGCCAUUUGUCCUGGAGGAUUGCGUAAAAUAAUUCGGAGAGCGCUGCGUUAUACACACGUUUUUCUCUGUAUUAUCAAAGUGAAAUAGGUUAGACCACGAAUCAGGAACUCUGGCUGCACAUGAGCACCACGUGACGUGCUUCUACAAAGGGAGUUGCUUCGCCCACCCCCAUUCUACUUAAUUGUUUCCUAGGGCAAAGCCCAAGCAGCAGGCGUUUCAGAAGCCCUCCAGGUGGUUCCCAUCUGCAACCACGUUUGAAAACCAUCGCACCUGGGCAGGGUGCAGUCCCCGGUCAAGUCUAGAAGCUGGAGAAGUACGAAACAGGCGCCGGGCAGUGGAGGAGGAGACGAGAAACCCGGCUGGAGGCGGGCGGGGAGACAAAGGUCACACGCCUCCCUCAGCUAUUUUUCUUCUGAAAUCCAACUGAUUUCCUCAAAAUCCAAUUUACCUGGAAUAAGCAAUUUGGUUAAUCAAACACCCUGAACCUUGAGAAGCCAGUCCCUUCAAAGGCUCGGUAAUCACUGGAGGGGAGAGAAGUAACUCCCUGAGAAAAGCCAACAAUUCGAAUGUGGGCUGGGAGCUGCAGCGAAGAUGUGAAAGAGAAAUCGACUCCUGGGGUUAAAUCUAGAGGUGAUUCAAGGCCUGGGGAGUCGUUGCUUUGAGCAGAGGCCUCUCGGAUGGAUGCUGCAAGUCCUGCUUUCUCCUGGAAUCAUGGCAGAACAGCACGGAUGGCUGGGGCCCACACUGAAAGCUGUCUCUCUCGUUUCCUGUGACUUAAUGGAACUUUCACGUUAUUGCUCUGACAAAUGAAGAGAGCUGGAAUUGAUAUCUUCUUGCUUAAAAGCACAUCUUCCUCUUGACUGAAAGGCUGUUUGCUAAGGAGAGAGGGGAAACAGAAUGACAGCUGUCCUGAUACGAGACAUCGUUGAUUUUGUACAACUGCUUUACAAUUUAGGCAAAACUUCCAAUGCUUCAGUGAUUAGUUGAUGCAGAUCUGUCCCGAGGACAAUGCAAACUGCAUAAUUACAAGGAAGUGGACAAAUGGCAAGUGAUCAUUCUGCCGGGCUAUGAGAGCUGCCAACUCACCAGUGUGAACAUCUGAAAAUCUCAGUGUACGAAAAAGGAGUCUGUAAAAACAAGUUUAUUCCAGACAGUUUUCUAGUCUAGUUCAUAUUUCUUCAGAAGGGUGUGGCUAGUGAGUUGGGGGGGGGCUGCACAGUGAAAGUCAUCUGCACGUAGCACCGAGGGGGUCGGCAGCAGCAUGUCUUCCCACACUCAGGCCAGGCCAGUGGACUUGGUGGCAGGGCAAGCUCUUGUCUACAGAGGCAUCAUGCAUGUAAAUCCAAACCAUCAACCCAACAGCACAGAGUAUGCUGGAUCUGUAGGUUACGGUAUCUUUUGAAACUGAGAUCAAUUAACUGUGCCAAGUACAGACAGCCUUGCAUGCUGUAGGCACUGGAAAAAGAGAGUAUGUUUUAAGCAACUGGACAAGAGCCAUAUAGCAGCAAGUAGUAAGUAUAAUAUUCUAGUGAGAAUUUAGUGGAUGGCAGAAUUUUAUUUUUAAUGAUGUUUUAAUCUUCACUUUGUAAAAUUUAUUAAUUAAACCAGUUCACAUCAAAACUCAAUGUGAAGAAUGUGAAAUGGAAAACUACAAAGACAUUUUAAAUAAAUAAUUUAUUUAUUCAAAAUAGUUUUCUUACCUUAUUCACAGUUUCAAGUUUAAAAUGAAAAAAAAGGGGGGGAGAGUACCAAUUCUUGAUCAACUGUCAUACAAAGUCAGAGAAAAGCAGAUCCGUUCAGAACAUGCACUGAAGAGAGAACUGUGCAAUGGCUAGUCUUCGAAAAAUCCUGUACUGAAGCUUAAAAAGGGCAGGCUUUUUCUGUGCAAUUGAGAAGGGAACACUGUGGAUGUACAGGAAGUUUCUUUAACUGACCUGAACCACUAAAAUCAUUUGGAUAAAAGUUCCCUUGACCAAAGUAACAUUUAUCCAAGAUAAUUAUCUCUUAAACCCAUGUAGCUUAACAUACUUCAAAAAUAUUUAAAAGUGUUAACUGCCUCACAGCAAGUCUAUUAAUACUGAGGUACCACAUGCUUCUCAGAGAAACGAAGGUGGGAGCUCUAGGUCUGAUUCUGAUGUUGGCACCUCCAACGAGGAAGCCAAAGAACUCAACCAUGACUGUCUGCCACGGGAAAUGAGAACUCUGUUUCCAUGCCGUGCCUGUUUUAAGUGGAUAUGUCCCUCAUAUUUAAUGAAACGAAGCACCAAAUGGACACACUAGCCCCCGAGUGCAGAAGGCACUGACAGCAUCUCUGCGGAUGCAGCCCCAGGCGGGAGUCACUGAAGAGCACCACCGUCUCCGCCGCUGCCACGAGCCAGCUGGUCCAGCAAAUGGACGAGAACGUCGAUUCUUUCCAGGAGAGAUGCGUUUUUGUUCGCAGUAGCUCUUAGAAGCUGGGAGUAAAUCUGCUUGUUGGUUCUGAGGACUACAUCUUCUUCAAGGUUACUACUGGGUUAAAAAGAGAGGGAGAUGAAGCAAAGAGUGAUGCCCACCAACAGCUGUAAAAGAAAUCCAAAAACUGAACACGGGCAGCCCUGUCAUCACUUUUCAGGUGGAAGCAGGUGUUCUAUUAAUGCCGACUCCAUUGACUGCUUAUGGGCCUGUUUUUAAACAUUUAUUUCAAACAUCAAUUAAAGCCAAUGAUUAUUACUCUUUUUAUAAAUAUUCGACUACCUACUAUGUACCAGGAACUACUCGUGGUCAUGCACAAAACAGACCCAGAGCCCCUGCCUUCAUGGAAUCCACAUUCUACUGAGGGAAGAGCUGGGGGAAGACAUGUCGAGACGGUGAAGAGAACAGACUGUGAGAUGACGUGCUGUGAAGAAAACACAGUGGGGCCAGGCGAGGGCGAGAAGCCACGCGGUACAGCUUCUGGGCACACACCUAGAGCGACUGCGGGACUGCUCCCCUGGAGCGAGCACUGCCGGAGACGGACGCACUGCCCCUCGUCUAGCUGAAAUGAUGUGCAGCUUCUGUGUGAAGAGUGCCUCUCAGCUGGAGAGUUCUAGAGGGAAUUUCCAUUUCAAAACUGUCUUAACAAAAAUUUCUUAAGUUUGCAGUUUAUUUUGAAAAUAUCUCCCCGGUAGGGUAGAUCGAUGGAUUAUAUUUAUGUUACUGAAAAAGACUAGUAAUCACGGCAGUUCAUUUCUAGCAUCCUUUUUAUUUUUUGAGUCCGGAUAUAAUAAAUGCAGAGCCCUGGCCACACAUACAGAGAACAGCUGAGAGUGCGCACAUGCACACGAGAUCUGCCCGUGACCCUGUCCCCUCGGGAGAGCAAGGACUGGUAUCCUUAUUUUGUAAUGAGAAACUAAAUGAUGUGAAAACUAAGCCCAGAAGGGUUAAAUAAUUUGGUUCAAGGUCAAAAUGUUUUCUGACUUCAAAUGCUAUGUUCUUUCCACCCUCCAAUAUGCAAAUCUUCCACCUUUGCCCGAGUGCCUGUUGGUCAGGCCUGCCGGAGAGCAAACCAGCAGCCUGGACCCUCCCUUCUGCCGCAGAUCAAGGCUCAGGCUGUAGGGAGCCCCACUUCUCUCACAGCCCCACUACUGCUCUUCGACAGGACCCACCUCUUCCGUGCUGCGGCCGGCCUGACCACGGGCCCAGGCUGGCAGCCAACGGGAGGCCGCCCACACCCCCCUUACAGACCCCUUUCUCCUUCCUGCUCGUUCUGACUUUCACCAGGCACAUCUCUCUCCGCCCCACGCCCAGCCAGCACCACCCACAGCACAGUAAAAAUGACCGUUCAAAACGUAUUCACUCUGCACUUCGGGCCUAAGAUGGAUAUGUUUUAGGGUUUUUUUGGUUGUUUUGUGGGGGGCAGGUAAACAUUCACAAACCUCUGAUAACCUUAUAAGACAUUUAAACUCCUAUCUGACAGUAAUCAAGGCAGUAGCACUUAACAAUUAGAAACACUGUCUGAAAUAUGAAUUGGUCUCUGUGGGCAAUGACCUCACACUGUCAUUUCAGCUGAUGCCUAAGGAUAAUUGAUGGGCUUCUGAGAUCGUAAACAUAAAACCCUUUGAUUUGUUCUGAUCUUAAUUCUGAAUGUUAAAUCUUUAUCUUCCAAUUUCUACAAAUCAUUCCCUUCCUUAAGCAACUCUCAUCAACAGUUAAUGAAACCUGCCCAGGUCCACAAAAUAAAUAACUCCGGGAAUAGUGAUAUUCAUAUUUGAGAGGACCUCAUACACUCUUCAGGGGAAUGCACUGGGAUGGCUCAGCCACCUGUUCACAACCUGGGUCUGAUUUCUGACUGAUUGCUACCUGAUGUUAAAUAUUUUCAAUAUUACUUCUUUAUCUCAGGGCUCACAUCCUUGGAGGACGAUUAUUGGGCUAUCUGUCCACCUGUCAGUGAUCACUGUGCUGGUCACCACUCUGUUCUGGCCUGCAGGGGUGAACCCUUGGACCCCGUUCCGCAGGGGCUCUGCCCUCACCCCGGCACUGACUAUGCUGGUUGGUCCAAGAGCAGGCGCUGCUCAAAGCCGCUUCUCUAGGAACCAGGUUCAGGCCCAGUACAAAUUCAGUCUCUCUUCUCUAUCAUUUAGUCUCACUGUGCUUCCAUUUCUCUGUAUCUUUUUUUCUCUCUUUCUCUCUCUAUACUGCAAAAACUUAAGUAUUGUCAACAGCCAUAUCAUUCAAUCUAGAAACUGGGAAACUGAAAAAGGCAACCUGAAGUAAAAGAAAGGAAUUUAUCUUAUGCCAUUAAGUUCUCUAUAAUGCACUUCACAUUUUAUUGAACCGUAUGUAAUUGCCAGUAUUUGACCGUUUUAAAAUUGACCAUGCUUAAUAAAAAUUGACAUGAAGUAUA